CAGCAGCCGCGGGAAUACGUAUGUCACGAGCGUUAUCCGGAUUUAUUGGGCGUAAAGCGCGUCUAGGUGGUUAUAUAAGUCUGAUGUGAAAAUGCAGGGCUCAACUCUGUAUUGCGUUGGAAACUGUAUAACUAGAGUACUGGAGAGGUAAGCGGAACUACAAGUGUAGAGGUGAAAUUCGUAGAUAUUUGUAGGAAUGCCGAUGGGGAAGCCGGCUUACUGGACAGAUACUGACGCUGAAGCGCGAAAGCGUGGGUAGCAAACAGGAUUAGAUACCCGCGUAGUCCCUGUCUCUUAUACA
rnacentral:rRNA from 1 species